rnacentral:rRNA from 1 species
GCUAAUACCGGAUAAGAAAGCAGAUCGCAUGAUCAGCUUUUUAAAAAGGCGGCGUAAGCUGUCGCUAUGGGGAUGGCCCGCGGUGCAUUAGCUAGUUGGUAAGGUAAAGGCUUACCAAGGCGAUGAUGCAUAGCCCGAGUUGAGAGACUGAUCGGGCCACAUUGGGGGACUGAGACACGGGGCCCAAACUCCUACGGGGGGGAGGGGCAGCAGUAGGGGGAAUCUUCCACAAUGGACGCAAGUCUGAUGGAGCAACGCCGCGUGAGUGAAGAAGGUUUUCGGAUCGUAAAGCUCUGUUGUUGGUGAAGAAGGAUAGAGGUAGUAACUGGCCUUUUAUUUGACGGUAAUCAACCAGAAAGUCACGGCUAACUACGUGCCAGCAGCCGCGGUAAU